CUGCAUGAUGAAAAACAGGGAAUGCAACACCAGAUUGAGCAGAGAAUGAUGUGGCAAGAGACCUUUCAGUACUCUUUGGAA